rnacentral:lncRNA from 1 species
UCUUGUAUCUAGUUGUUCCUUAUUGGUUGAUUUAUUUUCACAUCCAUUAAUCCACCAAGCAUUCUGAAGUGUCUGCUCUAGUCCUCACGCUGACCCAAAUCCUCAGGAAUAAAAACAAACAACUAGAAUCUCUGGGGAAGCAUCCAGUAUUGUAAGAGAUAGAAGAUGCACAUUUGUUUUAUAUACAUCCAGAGAGAAAUGGGCAACUGCCGCAUUAUGAUGUAAAUAAUACGCGUCACUGCUGUAGAAAUGCAAAGUAAAAAAAUGUCUGCCAUGAGCUACAUGUGAAUUUCAGUGAAGAACUAGUAGAAAAACAAAAGAAAAAAAAAGAAAAAUAAAAUGCCAAAUGUAUUUAUUUAUUUAUUUAUUUAGUCUUUUUAGGGCUGCACCCGUGGCAUAUGCAGGUUCCUAGACUAGGGGUCCAAUCGGAGCUGUAGCUGCCGGCCUACGCCAGAGCCAAAGCAACGGGAUCUGAGCCACAUCUGAGACCUACACCACAGCUCAUGGCAACGCCAGAUCCUUAAGCCACUGAGCAAGGCCAGGGAUCGAACCCCCAACCUCAUAGUUCCUAGUCGGAUUUGUUAACCACUGAGCCACGACAGGAACUCCUUUUUUUCUUUUUUCUUUUUCAAAUGUAUUUUUGACUGUGGAUAUCUUGUUUCUUAAGAAUAGAUUCAUAAGAUUUCCUACAGUCUUAAAACUACUCUAUGCUUGGUUUACACUGUGAAAUAGAAUUUUAUCCUCUUUGGUGUCUGAAUAUAGUCCCUCUGUCUACAUUCAUGACUGUAUAAGCAAUGUGGUCACAAAUCCUAUUUAGUGGACAUUUCCAGAUACACCUCCUAAGAACCACAUUUAUUUUAUGAUGGCCAUCAAGUAGAGCACCAUGGCUCCCUGGUGCUUAAAUUAAGCACACACUGUUUGCAGGUACAAGCAAAGAGUGGGCACUUAAGAAAUAGCUGCUUGAACAUUCUUAUUGUCUGAACAGCAUAUUUAUAAGACGUUAAAUAAUUAGAUGUAUUGACAAAAAUAUCUUACUAUUGACCAUCAAAUGAGUAGUAGUCAAAGUCAGAAGUUAGCCUGGAAGAGCUGAGAUCUCCAAGGUAGAAAUCAGGUAAAGAGAAUCACAUCUAGUUGGGGAUAGAACUGAGAAAUACCUAUUCAAAUACUUGUUGAAUAGGCUUUGGAUCAGCAUCAGAAAACCUUGUGAGAAAUUACCUAAUUUUCUAAGCAUUCUUUGCCUACCUGCUUCCAGUCCAUAAAUGGGAAUGAUUACAUUACCUUUCUGGGUUUUACAAGGAUUUUGUGAAAAUAUGAUGAGAUCAUCCUGCCCAUGACCACUCCUCAGUGUUGUGCAAAUAUAAAGUGAUUUUAGGAGGCAGAAAAAAACAGCACCGAAACACAGUAAUCAAACGAAGACUUCUUAUGGCUUUCAGAAUGCUGUUUUUCUUCUCUCUAACCACUGAAUUUAGAAACAUUCAUUGAGACAAGUUGAGUACGAGUUUCCUAGAGUUCUAAAGGUCAGAAUCUAGACAGAAAAAGGAAGAAAGGAAGUGGUUAAUUUGAUGAUUCUCCCCCCAUCUUUCCACCCUCACCUUCUCAGCAUUUACCAGGCUUUUGAUGAUGGUGGGAAGGGCUUUCAUGACCACAGUCUAGAAGUUUUCAGGCUUAUGUGGAUGGUCCACAUCAUCCCUCCUUGACCCGUGUGAAGGUCAGAGGGUGGCUCUUCCAUUUGGAUACAGUUCUUGGAAUCACUCAGAUUCCGCCCUGCUCUCUCUACCUUCUUCUACUUGCUAUCUUUUCAUAAUCAAUAGCAGAGAAAAAUGUGCUUCACCACUUCCACAAGGUGGUAUCACUAAGAUUUGUCCUGAACAAAUAAAAAUAUAUUAUGAGAUAAGCAAGAAAACGUGGCCACCAUCACAUUAAAUAAAGGGAGUGUGAUCCCAAGUAAGAGAUUUGAGGAUAGCUCCUUGUGCCUUUUGAGAUUCCAUUCUGAGAUCUGUGUCAUUUGUACCUGCUCUGGAUUGAUAGCGCCUGGGUGUCUUAUCUGUCUUUUCAUCUUUGAAGUUUCAUCCACAAGAAGUUAUUUUAUCAGGGAACUUAAAUUUCAACCUCUAAACAUGUUACAGAAUCAAAUUAAACUACAGAUAAUUUUGUUCUGAAAACUGAGUGUCAUCUGUAAUUGCAAUAUUGAUAGGGAAAAAAAACACCCUAAUUUUAAGCCUUUUGUUAUGAAUCCAUAUCUUCUCUGUGAAAUCAGAAUGUCAGUCUUGCAUCUCGUGGAACCAAAUAAAAAAAAUGUAUCAUGCAGUUACACAGGAUAUGACACCAACUCAAUAAGGCACUGGGGUGUAUAAAAAAACAUCACGGGUACAGAAAAAAAGGAUGAAAGUAAUAUUGGCCAACAUUUUCUUAUUAUUACUGUUCUUUUUAAUAUGGAGCAUUGUAUGUCCUUUUAUAUUGGUUCAGAAUCUUAUGAUCAACAGCAUUUAAACAAACUCUGAAUUAGGCACUCACACCCUGUAUUUUAAAUGUUUGGUUUUAAUUUGCUUAUCUACUUCUCAUUCUCUUCUUUUAAUCAUUUGCCUAAUUAUAUAAUUUAACAUGUAAGACUCUUCCAAAUGAGACAUGUUAAAUAAAGUUGUACUGCUUCAGUGAAUACUUAGUUACACAAGCACAGGGUGAGCUAGGUCUCACUCUUUGCUACAUUCUUAUGUAGCACAUGCAGUGUUGUACACGGAACUUCACUUUAUUUCAUACUUAUGGUCAUUAUAAAAAUGAAAAAACAUGAAAGUUGUAUUAUUACAUUUUAGUACCUCAAAAAUUUUUUAGUAUUUUGAUACGAAAAUUAUUUGUAAUUGUCUACUAUAUCAUUUGUAUCUUAAUUUCUUUAUUCAUAAAUACCUAACAGGAUUUUCAUGUUUCUGUUCUCAAUACAUUUAAAUGUUACAAGACCUAAGCAGUCAGAUAAACACAAAGUUUUGAAAAAUCUUAUCAAAAUAGUUUUAUUUUGCUGGAACAGUUUUAAUAUUAAUACAUUUAUAAUUUUUCAAAACAAAAGUGCCUAUUUUAUAAAUAUAUGUCCAAAGAAGUGUUUACUGUCUCAGAAACAACCCCCUUUGCAGCUAUCUCCUAUGAAAAACUUAGAUGGUUAAGUAGAGCAGCAUCUAAACAUUUUUUCAGACCAAAUCAAAAUAUUCCCUUAUAAGAUAUCUCAUGGUUUUUGGCAUGCAUAGUUUUGAAAAUACAAUUAAAAUACUCUAAAAACCAGUAUUAUUUAACUUAGACUCCACAAAUGCCAUGUGAUAAAUUUAAAAUCAGUUUUCCACAUCUUUUAUGUGUUUUUCAUAACUAACAAGCAGACUAAUAUUUAUAAGAUAUUCCGACCUCCACCACUGAUCACUAGCUACAUCACUUAAUUUUGGCAAAUCUUUGUUCCAUAAAUACAAAGACCUACAAACAUGAGUCUGAAACACAGGUGAAUGUUUGCGUAGGUGGAUAAAUAUGAAACAUGAGUCCUAUUCACAGCACAGACACCGACGGUUAUUCUUUUUCAGUUAAGAAUUGAUAGGACCUUCUAAGACUAGAUUGUAAACUUUGACGACAGCACUAACACAUUUUCUGUUGGAAGGAUAGGAAGAGUCACAUGAUUAACAACCUAAGAAAUACUACAACGAAGAGAAUUAAACCCUACUGAGGUUAUGGUUCAAUACAUUAAGGUGCUGCAUUUUUAGAUUCGCCCAUAACUAAAUGGAAGAGAUACAUUUUCAUACUGUUUAAUGAAAAGUGGUUUAAACAUAUCUUCUUUUCAUUUUAUUUUUUUUAAAUUGAUGAAAAACACUUCCCCCAAAUUAUGUCCUUCCAAACAUGAAAAAGAAAAUAAUAAGUUUGUAAAUUUCUACUCAUGGAAUGCUAAAGUACAACUUUAGUUACUGGCUUGAUUUAACUUACACAAACUCAAUGCUGAAAAAUAUUAUAUGCAUUUUAUAUUUAAGGAAAGUAUCCUUAUUUUGAGGAUUUUGGUAUAAAGUUAUUGAGCAUCUGCUAAUCUUUCUUUUUUAUACACGUACAUCACAAAAGCACUAAGGAAGGAAACUAAUCAAAUAUGUCAGAAAAAAAAUGUUUAUUUUAAAUGUCAAUGUGAUUCUUUUUUUUCUAUGAGAGAGAAAGAAAUAGACUAUAAGUAGAAGAGUUCAACUGAAUGGGCAAAUGAAAAAAAAUUAAGUGUUGUACUUUCUUUUCCAGAUUCAUUGAGCCCUUCAAUUAAUAUUUUAACUAGUACCUACCAUAUAAGUAAAACUAAACUUAAGAAUAAGAUGAAGGUUAUGAUGAUACAAAGAACAAAAUUGCAAAGAGUAUUUUUUUUAAUGUGUCACAAAUAAAGUAGGAUAUAAUUUUAAUUCUAAAUUAUGUGUAGAAUAAUACUUCAUAAAACUAUAUGCAAGUAACAUUCUAUAAUACUAACAUAAACCCAUGAUUAAAAUGCUUGAAUAAAUGUAAUGAGCUAUAGGAUAUUUUAAAAACUUCACAUGGUGAUUGAUGCUUUAGCAAUGUUGAGAGCUAUAUAGAUUUUUUAAAAAAUGAAAAAAAAAAUUAGUGACUUUGAAAGUUAAACUCUUAGAUCAAGCCAAUUUCCCAAAUCUGAAACAAAACCCAAAUAGUAGAGAUAAGAGGGAAAGCACCCCCCACAGAUUUGGUUUUAUGUAUGGAUUAAUUCACCCAAAGGGAAGGAAAACAGGGUCUGGUGCAGACAGCCAGAUCCAUUUCCACAGGAAAGAGCCUUAAUUUAAUGACUAAACACCCUCCUGCCAAUAUUCCCACAGGUGAAGUAAAGUGCUUUGCACAGUCACACCCAGCAAAAAUGCCCCUGUCAUAAGAAACCUACAAAUAAUGCUUCUUCGAUGCCCAAGAAUCUUCUCUCCAGCAAAUGAUGGCCCUGAGUAAGUUCAAAUCCAAUGCUAAGUCACUUUUAAUGGACUGUCUGGCCUCAGGGAGAUGUAGAGAUGUGUGGGUGUCAACACAUGACACACCACAGGGGAACACAGGCCUGGUACUUGUCUCUGUGUCUGUUUGUGCUUUAUUUUGAUCGAUUUUUUAAAUUGAUAUGUCCAAAUUGAAUUUAAAUAGUUAAAUUUUAAAAAGGAUAUAGCCAUAGAUAAAUUCAGAGACUUUGUAAUACUAAGUUAUAGGAACACAUCUCUGUUAAAACCAAAAGUUACGUAGUUUCUUUCCUACUUUAGGACCAUUGGUUUGGGACAAGAAAAGAAAGAUUAUGAUAAUCUGAGGCACACACAGAUGAUCAGACUAGAUGAAUACUGAAAAGCACUGCAGAAAAGGGCCUUGGUAGGAAACAGCAUCCAUUUCUGUUUUGAAACAGAUCCUGGGAUUUAAAGAAAGGUCCCUGUAGGUAAUGCUGGCUUAUAAGUCCUUAUAAUGGUUCUCUGCAUUUGUACUAGAAAGAGUGAGGAGACAUGAGUUCAAUUUCCACUCCACUGCAAAUUAUCUCUGCUGUCCUGGGCAUUUCACUUCAUUUCUCAGGGACUUCAAAUUUAAAAUUAAAGAAUUAAACUAUUCUCUAAGUGUAUAAACUUCUAAUUCAUUUUAAUUUAUCUGAUAGAUACUAUGGUAGUUUCUAUGCCUUUUCUAUAAGAAAUAAUCUCUUCAUUUUAAUUUCAUUUUACUUUGUAUUUAUUUCAUUAUUUUAAAUUAAAAAGCACCUAUAGGUAAACACAGACAUUUAUUUAUUCAUAAAUUUUAUAAUUUCCCCUACUUUCCUUGCACCUGUCUAGUCACACUGAACUCAUC